GGUUAAGCGACUAAGCGUACACGGUGGAUGCCCUGGCAGUCAGAGGCGAUGAAGGACGUGCUAAUCUGCGAUAAGCGUCGGUAAGGUGAUAUGAACCGUUAUAACCGGCGAUUUCCGAAUGGGGAAACCCAGUGUGUUUCGACACACUAUCAUUAACUGAAUCCAUAGGUUAAUGAGGCGAACCGGGGGAACUGAAACAUCUAAGUACCCCGAGGAAAAGAAAUCAACCGAGAUUCCCCCAGUAGCGGCGAGCGAACGGGGAGCAGCCCAGAGCCUGAAUCAGUGUGUGUGUUAGUGGAAGCGUCUGGAAAGGCGCGCGAUACAGGGUGACAGCCCCGUACACAAAAAUGCACAUGCUGUGAGCUCGAUGAGUAGGGCGGGACACGUGGUAUCCUGUCUGAAUAUGGGGGGACCAUCCUCCAAGGCUAAAUACUCCUGACUGACCGAUAGUGAACCAGUACCGUGAGGGAAAGGCGAAAAGAACCCCGGCGAGGGGAGUGAAAAAGAACCUGAAACCGUGUACGUACAAGCAGUGGGAGCACGCUUAGGCGUGUGACUGCGUACCUUUUGUAUAAUGGGUCAGCGACUUAUAUUCUGUAGCAAGGUUAACCGAAUAGGGGAGCCGAAGGGAAACCGAGUCUUAACUGGGCGUUAAGUUGCAGGGUAUAGACCCGAAACCCGGUGAUCUAGCCAUGGGCAGGUUGAAGGUUGGGUAACACUAACUGGAGGACCGAACCGACUAAUGUUGAAAAAUUAGCGGAUGACUUGUGGCUGGGGGUGAAAGGCCAAUCAAACCGGGAGAUAGCUGGUUCUCCCCGAAAGCUAUUUAGGUAGCGCCUCGUGAAUUCAUCUCCGGGGGUAGAGCACUGUUUCGGCAAGGGGGUCAUCCCGACUUACCAACCCGAUGCAAACUGCGAAUACCGGAGAAUGUUAUCACGGGAGACACACGGCGGGUGCUAACGUCCGUCGUGAAGAGGGAAACAACCCAGACCGCCAGCUAAGGUCCCAAAGUCAUGGUUAAGUGGGAAACGAUGUGGGAAGGCCCAGACAGCCAGGAUGUUGGCUUAGAAGCAGCCAUCAUUUAAAGAAAGCGUAAUAGCUCACUGGUCGAGUCGGCCUGCGCGGAAGAUGUAACGGGGCUAAACCAUGCACCGAAGCUGCGGCAGCGACGCUUAUGCGUUGUUGGGUAGGGGAGCGUUCUGUAAGCCUGUGAAGGUGUGCUGUGAGGCAUGCUGGAGGUAUCAGAAGUGCGAAUGCUGACAUAAGUAACGAUAAAGCGGGUGAAAAGCCCGCUCGCCGGAAGACCAAGGGUUCCUGUCCAACGUUAAUCGGGGCAGGGUGAGUCGACCCCUAAGGCGAGGCCGAAAGGCGUAGUCGAUGGGAAACAGGUUAAUAUUCCUGUACUUGGUGUUACUGCGAAGGGGGGACGGAGAAGGCUAUGUUGGCCGGGCGACGGUUGUCCCGGUUUAAGCGUGUAGGCUGGUUUUCCAGGCAAAUCCGGAAAAUCAAGGCUGAGGCGUGAUGACGAGGCACUACGGUGCUGAAGCAACAAAUGCCCUGCUUCCAGGAAAAGCCUCUAAGCAUCAGGUAACAUCAAAUCGUACCCCAAACCGACACAGGUGGUCAGGUAGAGAAUACCAAGGCGCUUGAGAGAACUCGGGUGAAGGAACUAGGCAAAAUGGUGCCGUAACUUCGGGAGAAGGCACGCUGAUAUGUAGGUGAGGUCCCUCGCGGAUGGAGCUGAAAUCAGUCGAAGAUACCAGCUGGCUGCAACUGUUUAUUAAAAACACAGCACUGUGCAAACACGAAAGUGGACGUAUACGGUGUGACGCCUGCCCGGUGCCGGAAGGUUAAUUGAUGGGGUUAGCGCAAGCGAAGCUCUUGAUCGAAGCCCCGGUAAACAGCGGCCGUAACUAUAACGGUCCUAAGGUAGCGAAAUUCCUUGUCGGGUAAGUUCCGACCUGCACGAAUGGCGUAAUGAUGGCCAGGCUGUCUCCACCCGAGACUCAGUGAAAUUGAACUCGCUGUGAAGAUGCAGUGUACCCGCGGCAAGACGGAAAGACCCCGUGAACCUUUACUAUAGCUUGACACUGAACAUUGAGCCUUGAUGUGUAGGAUAGGUGGGAGGCUUAGAAGUGUGGACGCCAGUCUGCAUGGAGCCGACCUUGAAAUACCACCCUUUAAUGUUUGAUGUUCUAACGUUGACCCGUAAUCCGGGUUGCGGACAGUGUCUGGUGGGUAGUUUGACUGGGGCGGUCUCCUCCUAAAGAGUAACGGAGGAGCACGAAGGUUGGCUAAUCCUGGUCGGACAUCAGGAGGUUAGUGCAAUGGCAUAAGCCAGCUUGACUGCGAGCGUGACGGCGCGAGCAGGUGCGAAAGCAGGUCAUAGUGAUCCGGUGGUUCUGAAUGGAAGGGCCAUCGCUCAACGGAUAAAAGGUACUCCGGGGAUAACAGGCUGAUACCGCCCAAGAGUUCAUAUCGACGGCGGUGUUUGGCACCUCGAUGUCGGCUCAUCACAUCCUGGGGCUGAAGUAGGUCCCAAGGGUAUGGCUGUUCGCCAUUUAAAGUGGUACGCGAGCUGGGUUUAGAACGUCGUGAGACAGUUCGGUCCCUAUCUGCCGUGGGCGCUGGAGAACUGAGGGGGGCUGCUCCUAGUACGAGAGGACCGGAGUGGACGCAUCACUGGUGUUCGGGUUGUCAUGCCAAUGGCACUGCCCGGUAGCUAAAUGCGGAAGAGAUAAGUGCUGAAAGCAUCUAAGCACGAAACUUGCCCCGAGAUGAGUUCUCCCUGACCCUUUAAGGGUCCUGAAGGAACGUUGAAGACGACGACGUUGAUAGGCCGGGUGUGUAAGCGCAGCGAUGCGUUGAGCUAACCGGUACUAAUGAACCGUGAGGCUUAACCUU
rnacentral:rRNA from 1 species